CAGCAAGACUUCAGUCUGUGGGUUAAACAGUAGCAGAUCAGCAGUUAAUGUCGUAAGGGAUGCACACUGCCUGCAUGCAAGGGAAGGAACAAUUUUCCAUAAUGUGGCAGAUGGCAGCUUAGUGGCAAGUAGAAAACAACACAGCAAAAUGAAUCUGUUCCCAGGAGCUGUCUGUGAAGUUAUAGCCUUGCAGGAGAGAGAGGAUGUAGGCGCCCGAGAAGCAGUACUCACUCACCAACGAAGUCUUGUCACUAAUAAAAAUGAGAAGAAAAAUCCAAAUGAGUCCUGAAGCCAGCAAGCUCCCUCCCGGUUAGUGUCCAGGUUAGUGUCACCUCACUUCAACCACUAACACAGGUGCCCUGAAAACUCAGACCCACAUGGUGACAAAGAGACAAGAGGAGCUGCUCCAACAGCUGAGCAUCGGAGAAUCCUGCAGCUGCGCACGGGUGACAGCCGAGAAACUGUCAGCCACUCUAUACCAGUCAGUAGUCCAACCACAGAAGGAGAAGGAAAAAAGAAGACAACAUGAAGAGGAAGAGGAGGAGGAAGAAAGGGACAUCUAUCAUCCCAACUAACUACGUGGGAGUUUGGAGGCAGGAGGCUGCAAGUUCAAGGCCAGCCUGGACAACUUAACAAAUUCCUGGUUCAACAUUAAGAAAC
rnacentral:lncRNA from 1 species